rnacentral:rRNA from 1 species
UACGAAGGGGGCUAGCGUUGCUCGGAAUCACUGGGCGUAAAGCGCACGUAGGCGGCUUGUUAAGUCAGGGGUGAAAUCCUGGAGCUCAACUCCAGAACUGCCUUUGAUACUGGCGAGCUUGAGUUCGGGAGAGGUGAGUGGAACUGCGAGUGUAGAGGUGAAAUUCGUAGAUAUUCGCAAGAAUACCAGUGGCGAAGGCGGCUCACUGGCCCGAUACUGACGCUGAGGUGCGAAAGCG